CACCCCGGAAGCGCUUUUUUGUCAGUCAGGACCCAAACAAACAAGACGUGAGCGUAAAUACCAAAGUUCGUGUUUAAAUGACAUCGACUAGAUGCCUUAUUAUCCAUAUACACUAGGUAUAAGAAAUAGGUGAUACCGGAAUAAUUCUGUUCCUAUACUUUGACUUAGCUAAUGUUAGCAUUAGCAAUAUUAGCUUGUUAGCAUGUUAGCAUGUUAGCAAUGUUUAGCCGCCAUGGCCGCGUCGAUUCCUCCACUCAGUGCCGCUCCUGCACUAAAUCAAAAACAACGAAGGGCCGCCUCGAGGAAGGAAAGAAGAAAAAGGAAACGUCAAGCCACCGCCCAAGCCAGACAACGUGCUUUACAUAACGGAGCGACUGUUGAUCCUCCUGAUGAAGAAGAAGACGAAGAAGAAGAAGAAGAAGAAGAAGCCAGUAUUGUUGAGAAAGAAAGACAGCGGCUGCAUGAAGAGUGGCUGCAGCGUGAGCGUCUGGCACAGGAGGAGUUCAGGCUGAAGUCAGAGAGGAAGGACGCUGCCAGGAAACGCAAAGAAGAUGAGGAGCGCUGCAUCAAGGAGGAAUGGGAGGCCCAGCAGAGGCAAGAAGAAGAAGAAAAGGAGCAGAAGCUGCAGGAGAAGCGAGGCAGAGAGGAGGCUGCUCAGAAAAUGUUGGAUGAAGCAGAACAUCAGCUAAACGCUGAAGCACCUUGGAUGAAUCCUGAAGCUCCAAAGUCUGAGAAGUCUGAACAUUUUGGCACGGAGCGAGACACAGCCAACUGUCCUUUCUUCCUCAAAACUGGAGCUUGUCGAUUUGGGGACAGAUGCUCUCGGAAGCACACCGGUCCCACCAGCAGCCCCACUCUGAUGAUCCGCAGCAUGUUCCUGACCUUUGGCAUGGAGCAGUCUCGACGUGACGACUACGAUGGAGACGCUUGUCUGGAACACAGCGAAGAAGAUCUGCAGGAAUCUUUCACCGAGUUCUACCGCGACGUUCUACCAGAGUUUAGGAGCGUUGGCAAGGUGGUGCAGUUUAAGGUGAGCUGCAACUAUGAACCUCACCUGCGAGGGAACGUGUACGUGCAGUUUGACACUGAGCAGCAGUGCAGAGACGCUCUCAUCAAGUUCAACGGGAGGUUCUACGCCGGCAAGCAGCUUCACUGUCAGCUCUGUCCCGUCACUCGCUGGAAGAACGCCAUUUGUGGACUCUUUGACAGGAACAGAUGUCCCAAAGGCAAACAUUGUAACUUCCUGCACGUCUUCAGAAACCCUGCCAAUGAGUUCUGGGAGGCGGACCGGGACCUGAACCUGUCCCCUGACCACAGCGUCAGAGGAAGCCACUCGGAGCGCACCUGGCGACACCGUCAGCACAGCUCCAGUCCUCCCAGGUCCCAGAGGUCUCACAGGAGGACUUGGCACAGGAGGGACACGGAGCGCAGCACCAGGAGCAGAAGCCCAGACACCAGGAGCAGAAGCAGAGACACCAGGAGCAGAAGCAGAGACACCAGGAGCAGAAGCCCAGACACCAGGAGCAGAAGCAGAGACACCAGGAGCAGAAGCAGAGACACCAGGAGCAAGGAGAAGGACUCAAAGAAGCAGGUGAGGAACAACAGCAAAGAUGAGAAUGGAGACAGAAGACACAGCUGGAGCCGAGAUGCAGAAAGAAGCAGAGAACGGCGAGAGAAGAAAGUCGGUCUCAGCCCAGAGAAGAAGGAGGGAAAACAAGGUCGCCAUCACAAACACUCCAAGAAGAGCAAGAAGAAGAGCAAGAAGAGGAGCAAGAAGAGAAGUUCCUCUGCUGAAGACAGGUCUUCUUCUUCUUCUGGACACUCGCAUGGAGACCAAGAAGAUGUUCUGGAGGACAACAGGAGUGAUGAGCAGGAAGUUUGUGCAGGAGAAAGUCCCAAAGCUUUUAUGGAAGGAGAGCAAAGCACAAAGGAAGAUGCUGGAGAGAAGUGACUCUACUACUCAGGUCAGAGGUCACCUUUCUUCUUAUUCUCGACUACAAACUUCUUAUCCGUCAGGUGAGAGGUCACAUGUUUCUUCCUAUUCUCUACUAGCAACUUCUUAUCCAUCAGGUCAGAGGUCACAUGUUCCUUCUUAUUUCAUUACAAUAAAUGUCUGAGUCAGGUCAGAGGUCACAUGUUUCUUCUUAUUUCAUUACAAUAAAUGUCUGAGUCAGG